CUACGGGGGGCUGCAGUGGGGAAUAUUGCGCAAUGGACGAAAGUCUGACGCAGCGACGCCGCGUGAGGGACGAAGGUCUUCGGAUUGUAAACCUCUUUCAGUAGGGACGAAGCGAAAGUGACGGUACCUAAAGAAGAAGCACCGGCUAACUAUGUGCCAGCGGCCGCGGUAAUACAUAGGGUGCAAGCGUUGUCCGGAUUUAUUGGGCGUAAAGAGUUCGUAGGCGGUUUAUCGCGUCGGGUGUGAAAACUCAGGGCUUAACCCUGAGCCUGCACUCGAUACAGGUUUACUUGAGGACGGCAGGGGAGACUGGAACUCCUGGUGUAGCGGUGGUAUGCGCAGAUAUCAGGAAGAACACCAAUGGCGAAGGCAGGUCUCUGGGCCGAUUCUGACGCUGAGGAACGAAAGCGUGGGGAGCAAACAGGAUUAGAUACCCUGGUAGUC
rnacentral:rRNA from 1 species